UUGGGUUGGGGCGGGGGCGGAGUGGGGGCCAUUGAUACAGUGACAACUCCUUCGAGUGGCCAGUGGGCGGCGCCGGAGAGAUGCCCCUCCAGACACCGAGGCUGGUGGGGCUGGAGCAGGGUCUGUGUCCAAGGGGCAUAACUCGGCCGGGCCAAUAAGUCAUAGAGACGUGGAAAGUAACAUAGCAAGACGUCCUCCGCAGCUCCUACAAGCACACCCAAGAAGGUCCAAGGAAAGAGUUCCACACUAUUGCACACCCCAAGAGGAUAAAGCCAGGUGUUUUCUUCAAGAAGAAGUAUAUUUCUGUCCAAAAGAGCAAUUAGAAAAACUUUCACCAGCUUAGAAAACGGGAUGGAACCAAGCCUCCGGGUCCAUCUGCCCUGCAGCCUGGCACCCCCCCAUCCCAGGCUCAUCGCAAGUUCAGAGAGAGGCUGAUGAGGGGCUGGCCAGCCCACUGGAGCUGCCUUUGAGGUUUCAAGCGUCCUGGGGUUUGAAGAAAAUGAUGGCGAGGUUAAAGGAGAAAAUAAGUUACAUUACAGUUUCCAAAGUGGUUCUCACUCUCCGCUGAAGAUGGGCCACCGGCAGGGCUGAAAUGCACUCUCGGUCCCAGCUUGUGCUUUGCAAGAAGAGGGAAUAUAACUAGACUGGUUAUUUUAGGUUAAAAUAGCCAAGAGACAGACGCCUUCGCCUCAAAAAUAUUCUGAGACACAUACAAGUAGAAGGAAACAAGUCUCUUCAGUCACAAAAUGUCGUACAUCCCGCAUAUA